CCGGGCAACACAGGAUUAGAAUAAAUUAAGAACCAAGAUAGUGUUUAUUCAUGUCACAUAAUACUCACUUGGGUGUCCACUGACUACCUCACAGGAAUAUUAACCACGAAAUACAUGCAUCAUCAUAUUCCCUUAUGAAUUGUUUGGGACACUAUCAUACAUCAGUCGAAAUAUUACUCAAAAAAUUUUAUCAGUGUCAAUAAUUGAAUGGAUAUUCAAUGCUUCUAGAUAUCUAGAUCCAUGUCCUUAAUGGUCUUCCCCUUUAGUUUAGGCUCUCCGAAUUUCUCAAAAGAAAAGAUAACAUGAGAAUAAAAGUCUUUAUCUCACAGCAGUAAAUAUCUAGUUCAGAUCUCUCAAGGUUUAGUGCCUUGAUAGCUUGUUGCAUUUUCCAUAUUGCAAUACUUACUACAUGAAUGGCAGUAGUAAAAGAUAUCAAGAUAAACAAGAAUACAAGA
rnacentral:lncRNA from 1 species